UACGAAGGGGGCGAGCGUUGUUCGGAUUUACUGGGCGUAAAGGGCGCGCAGGCGGCGCAUUUUGUCAGGCGUGAAAGCCCCGGGCUUAACCUGGGAACUGCGUUUGAUACGGAUGGGCUAGAGUUCGGGAGAGGAGAGUGGAAUUCCCAGUGUAGAGGUGAAAUUCGUAGAUAUCGAGAGGAACACCGGUGGCGAAGGCGGCGACCUGGACGAUGACUGACGCUGAGACGCGAAAGCGUGGGGAGCAAACAGG
rnacentral:rRNA from 1 species